AUACGGAGGGUGCAAGCGUUAAUCGGAAUUACUGGGCGUAAAGCGUACGUAGGCGGUUCGUUAAGUUAGAUGUGAAAGCCCCGGGCUUAACCUGGGAACUGCAUUUAAAACUGGCGAACUAGAGUUGAGUAGCGGGGAGUGGAAUUUCAGGUGUAGCGGUGAAAUGCGUAGAGAUCUGAAGGAACACCAGUGGCGAAGGCGACUCCCUGGACUCAAACUGACGCUGAGGUACGAAAGCGUGGGUAGCAAACGGGAUUAGAUACCCUAGUAGUCC
rnacentral:rRNA from 1 species